UCAUUGCCCCCCGGAGCCGGGGGAUCCGGGAGGCUGCUGCAGUGAGCCGGCCGCGGGUGCUGCUGCGAGGAGCCGGUGUCCGGGACCGCCCGGAGCAGGCAGGUUAAUGAGCUGGGUGGAGGAGGCUCUGGGAGGCCCUGCACCCUCUGUGCGCCCGCGGCCAGGGCGCAGCGGGCGAGGCUUGGGAGCGAGAUGGGGCUGGCGGCAGCAGCGGCUCCCCCACCUACUUGCUGGCGGCGAGGCGCGGGGGCCUGGGGCCAGCAGCGCGGCUCCCAGCUUCCAUCCCGACUCUUGCUAAGAAGCGAAACACGCCCCACGUCAGCCUCUUCUGUUUAGACUUUUCCAACUGCCACUUUUAAGCUGUCAUUAAAGACCUGGGGCGCUCCCCAAAGGUUUGGGGCAAGUCCGCGCCGGUCUAGCCAGCCCCAGGAAAGUGCAAGAAAGAAAGAUUGGGAGGGGCUGGUGGGAGGAGAGAUGUGGGAAGAGCAGUUUUCCGGGACCCCAGGGACCCACUUGCCACCCACUAGGGCCGCCGUCCUCCCUGCCCUAGAGCAAAAUGACACAACACUCUGAGGCUAGGAGUGCCCAGGUUGGCACUAAAACUGCGAAUCCCUAAAGGAUAAGCGGGAAAGCGGGCGGGUGGAAAAAGUGAACUUUGGUUUGGGUCGCCCCCGCUCUCGCCACAAUUCUAGCAAUUAGGAUCUCUAGCGCGCUCUCACUUAAGUUUGCCAACUGCCUUGCAUUCGCCCUCGGGGCUGCGCUGCCUCCGGCGCGUGGGGGCGGGCACCUCGGAAACUGGAAAGACAGCCAGAGAGCUCGCUGGGUCCCGCUUUCCCAUAGGAGGUACUGUCCCACUUCCAGCCAGCUUCCGCCCCCGACGCGCCCAGGCUCUGGGUGCUUCCUCGCGUCACCACCAACCUCACUCCCGGCCCUGGGGGUAGUGCCCUAGUGACACCAGGACCUUAACUAUUCUAUUCGUUGGUGGCAGUAACCGGGGUGGUCAUCCUAACUUUCUCCAGCGAAUGUUCACUGGCUUGCCAGCCAGGCCUGAGACCCAAGGCCAGGAAGAACCGAUGGAGCCAGAUCGCAGCAGUGCGCCCAAGUGCCUGGAGACAACCUCGCCGGGUCCUUGCGUGCGUCAUUGGAAUUUGCCUCUAUGUUUCAAUUCAGCUGUGGGGAGUCCUGCCUCAACUAUUUGUUCCUUCUUUCCAUGUUGCCUGUCUUACCCCCCUUACCCCCGCUCCGAGGCUUUUAUCAUUUUGUGCCACAAUAGGAACCAUCCAUCAAGUUGUAAUUUACAAGGAAUGU
rnacentral:lncRNA from 1 species